CCUACGGGGGGCUGCAGUGGGGGAUAUUGCACAAUGGGGGCAACCCUGAUGCAGCGACGCCGCGUGUGGGAAGACGGUCCUCUGGAUUGUAAACCACUUUCCCCAGGGACGAAGAUGACGGUACCUGGGGAGGAAGCUCCGGCUAACUACGUGCCAGCAGCCGCGGUAAUACGUAGGGAGCGGGCGUUGUCCGGAAUUACUGGGUGUAAAGGGAGCGUAGGGGGGGAUGCAAGUUGGGUGUCAAAACUACCGGCUCAACUGGUAGUCGCACUCAAAACUGCAGCUCUUGAGUGAAGUAGAGGCAGGCGGAAUUCCUAGUGUAGCGGUGAAAUGCGUAGAUAUUAGGAGGAACACCAGUGGCGAAGGCGGCCUGCUGGGCUUUUACUGACGCUGAGGCUCGAAAGUGUGGGGAGCAAACAGGAUUAGAUACCCUUGUAGUC
rnacentral:rRNA from 1 species